ensembl:lncRNA
CGAGCGGGUCGCCCGCCACCCAGCGGAGGCGCGGGUUGGUCUCGCCCCAGAAGAGAGGGCCCUCCAAGUGGCUGGCACAGGAUGAGAACGUGAUCCUGUGCGGUCAGUCCUGCGCCCUGCCCAAGGUCCAGUCCUCCAGCUACGGGUCCCUCGGUGGGGCCCCUGUUCGGCCCGCCACCAGUCCAAGGGCCCCUGGCUCCGCCGAGAAGAGGAGAGAUGAGAACCUCAUUUAAACAGAAACUGAUUAUGUGACUUGAUGGGGCGCCUCUUCUAUCCUCUCUGGCUGCUUUUUCGUGAAAACCCAUCAGCCUGUUGCCAUGGCACCCUGAGAGAAGCGGGAAGAUGAAACGGAGGGAACACGCCAUGGCUUGCCACCUGCCUUUUUUUACUCACUGCUGUUAUUUAUAUUCAAUUUUGGAUUUGAUAAUUUAUUCUAUUUUUUUGUGUGUUUGUUUAUUUAUUUAUUUAUUUAUUUAUUUUAGCUCUGCCACUGCGUGUAUAUUAAAAACAUCUUGCAAUGUGUAAAAGAUGUAAUCAAAUGUGCUACAAAAAUGAUAAAUGACAAAGAAAUACAGUAUUUUUAGAAAAAAUGGACAGAAGUAACUUUUACUAUUGUACAGCAAGAUUAUUGAAUGUAGCUUACGUUUGCUGUUUACUAAUAUGUAUUUUUUUUAUGAUAGAUUAAAACAUAUGGCAAAUGGAAUAAGUUGCAAAACGCCACUGUGUGUGUGUGUGUGUGUGUGUGUGUGUGUGUGUGUGUGUGUGUGUGUGUGUGUGUGUGUGUGUGUGUGUGUGUGUGUGUGUGUGUGUGUGUGUGUGUGUGUGUGUGUGUGUGUGUGUGCGUGCAUAGGUUUGUGUUCCCCUGUGCGUGCACAUUUGUUUGCGUUAGUGUCUGUUAAAGUUUAUAUUUGUGUGUAAAUGCGUGCUUUGUCCUUCCUAAUCACCAAUGUGAUAGUUCUGUCGAGAUUUGUAAACUGUACAAUAAAAGAUUUGUUACAAAACCGACGCAUUUGUUCCUCAUCGUGUCCUACAACUGCCCUAAUGGUUUUCUCCAGCAUGUAAGACAUAAUGGUAUUUAUUAUCGUGGGCAUCUCCC